AACUAAGUACAUACUUGUGCCAAGGCUGAAACAUUUUUGAAAAUUGAGAAUUGUAAUGUUAUAUUAAUACAGGAUUUUUAGAAAUGAUCUUGAUUAGGGAUGGGGAAAAUCAUCAAUACAGGAUUGCAAUAUUUUUGCAUGCUAAUAUCAUAUUGAUACACAGAUGCCAAUUAAUUAAUUUUUAAUUCUAAAAAUUAUAAAUCACAAAAAUACAAUUGAAACUUUCGGUAGUCUUCAAUAACAAUGAAAUCAAUUUGCUUUUCAGUCCAGUUGAUACAUUUUGCUGUAAUUAAAAUGAUUAAAGUGAGACUGAAAACUUCACCCAAUUAGAUAAUCAAGAUGUUGAAAAAGUUUUUUCUUUUGGGACAUAAUUUGCAGUUGACAAAAGGUAAUAAAUCACAACAUAAAAAAUGUAUAUCAUUGCAAAAAUCAGCAUAUCCCAACAAGUUUUCAAAAGUUCUAAUAGUACUGUAUUUUGACUGAAGUAUCGCGAUAAUGUUUUGAUUUUUUUUUCUUGCCUCUAAUACCAAAUCAUUUGUACUCGAUAAACUAAAUGUCCCAAAAUACAAAGCACUGAUUAUAUAAGUAUUAUAUAUACAUUUAUAUUAUACAUUUUUCUUCUAUUGUAAAUAAAAAAUGCAAUUCUAUGACAGGCAACCACACAGCUAAAAAAUAAUCAUGAGCAAAUGUAAUGAUAAUCAGAAAUAGCUAAACUAAACAAAUUGCCAUGAGUAGUACUACCGGUUCUAGCACUACAGUUCUACAGCAGUUCUGUGUGUAGUUUGUCCAAAUAGUGUUGCCGUACCCCAGCAGAAUUCAGUUCACGUGCAUAUUCAGCUAAUGUUUAUGUCUUUAAAAUGUUAUGUUUCAGUCAUUUAUGUGUAAUUUAUGUUGACAGUAAAAAGUAUAAAGUAUACUGUGUAGUUUCAUUUGCUUAUUAUAAAUAAUGUAGUAAAAAAAAAAAAUUUAAUUCUGAAAUAUUUUGUGGGGGGGUGGGGACCCCCACCAGACCCCCCCCCCCCCCCCAUGGCCACCCCCCUGCAGAAUAAAUGUGCCAAAGUGGAUUCCAGUGCAAUAAAAAGCAUGUUGUUGUUGUGUGUUUUUUUUUUUAUAGACUCGAACAUGUAAUCAUCAGCAGAGGCUUCAGAUCGUGACGCCAGGUGUUUUUGCCCUGUUUGCAGCAGCGUUUCUUCUUCACAUCUUCGAUCAAAUGGAUCAGCUUCAACUGAAUUGUUCACUUUUCUUUUGCUAAACAUACCGUCAAUCAUAAAAUAUCAGUCAAACUAAGGGCAAUUUUUCCUCUUUCUGUUUUAAUGUGAGAGUAUGUAUGGGCCUCAGGGCAUGGGGUUAUUUGUAAUUUAGCAGUGUGUUGCUUGGAUUCUGCUCCUCUCCACCUUUUGAUAUUGAAAAGUGUGCAUUAAGCUGAAAAUAUUAGCUUUAAUGACUCUUUAUUUUUCCUAAAUGAGGCAAUGUAAUUAUAAUUGGUCACAUUAAUACAUGAAUGAGUGUUCUUUUUGGACUUAGAUCAAAGUGUGUUAAACAAUUCUUAUUUGUUAUUUAAGACAUUUGUUAAUGCACUCUAUGAAAUAAAUGCCUCUUAAUCCA